UGCUUUAGUAAUUAUCGGUUGCUAUAAUUGUAGGCAAUAUUCUGUCUGUCUUGUUCACGUAUUUAUAUACCGGGUCUUGCUUAAAUUCAGCAUCUAACUUACCUACAAAGUAUCUGUGACAAUACCCUGAAGAUAAUUUCAAGGUCGUUAAUUCAGUUUUUGCGUGUCAAUAUCUAUUUCUUAUAUUAUGUAUAUGAUGUUUUAAGCGACAUCAAGACGAAUUGAAGAUAACUUUGCAAUGACGUCGUAUGUAGCGUUGGUAACUUUUCAAAAUCUUCGGUUGUAAUAGAAAUAAUUUAACACUUUGAAAUCACACGUUUCGUUGAGGACGCCACGGGAGUAUUUUUAUUAUUCAAAGCAUAUAAUGGCAAAAUAAUAAUAAAUUGAUGAUGUAAGAUAACGUUCUUCCCCAAUGGACCGUUUAUCUUAUUGGUACAAGCAAAACGUGCAGAAUAUAUUUUUGAAGCGUGUAGAAGAUAUUAGUAAACAUAUUUACGAUUAUUUUUAUGAUUUCGACAAAACAUUCGGCUGAAAUGGUAGAGGUCCGGAAAAAAUUAUGUUUGCGAUAAAGCAAUGGUAGUGGUAGAUUACAACAGAGGAAAAUGUGCUGUAGAUUUAUCAGAGCAAAUGGUAGCAUAUUCUACAGCACAUAGAAGAACCCUCAAGUGAUAUAUAAAAUUAGCUUUAGAGUUAUUGUUAAAUACAUCAAUUUCAAACGCGAUGGUACUCUAUAAAUGAGCAAGAAAAACAAAAAUCAAGGUAUCAGCUUUUAGAAUGGCACUCGCGACGCACC